rnacentral:rRNA from 1 species
UACGUAGGGUGCAAGCGUUUGUCCGGAAUUAUUGGGCGUAAAGAGCUCGUAGGCGGUUCGUCGCGUCGGCUGUGAAAACCUGAGGCUCAACCUCAGGCCUGCAGUCGAUACGGGCGGACUUGAGUACUGCAGGGGAGACUGGAAUUCCUGGUGUAGCGGUGAAAUGCGCAGAUAUCAGGAGGAACACCGGUGGCGAAGGCGGGUCUCUGGGCAGUAACUGACGUGGAGGAGCGAAAAGCGUGGG